rnacentral:rRNA from 1 species
UACGAAGGGGGCUAGCGUUGCUCGGAAUGACUGGGCGUAAAGGGCGCGUAGGCGGAUGGCACAGUCAGAUGUGAAAUUCCCGGGCUUAACCUGGGGGCUGCAUUUGAUACGUGUUGUCUAGAGUUGAGGAAGAGGAUCGCGGAAUUCCCGGUGUAGAGGUGAAAUUCGUAGAUAUCGGGAGGAACACCAGUGGCGAAGGCGGCGAUCUGGGUCGAUACUGACGCUGAGGCGCGAAAGCGUGGGGAGCAAACAGGG